ACUGGGUCCGGUUGCUGUCAGGUCCGGUUGGUGACACCAUGUCUGGUUGGUGACACCAGGUCCAAUUGGUGACACUGGGUCCGGUUGCUGUCAGGUUGUGCCAGUGCCACCAGGUCCGGUUGGUGACACCAAUUCCAGUUGGUGACACCAGGUCCGGUUGGUGACACCGUGUCUUGUUGGUGACACCAGGUCCAAUUGGUGACACUGGGUCCGGUUGCUGUCAGGUUGUGCUGGUGACACCAGGUCCGGUUGGUGACACCAGGUCCGGUUGCUGUCAGGUUGUGCCAGUGCCACCAGGGUUGGUUGGUAACACCAAUUCCAGUUGGUGACACCAGGUCCAGUUGGGGGCACUGGGUUCAG